UACGAAGGGGGCUAGCGUUGUUCGGAAUUACUGGGCGUAAAGCGCGCGCAGGCGGCUAUCCAAGUCAGUGGUGAAAGCCCGGAGCUCAACUCCGGAACUGCCAUUGAAACUGUUUAGCUUGAGGACGAGAGAGGUGAGUGGAAUUCCCAGUGUAGUGGUGAAAUACGUAGAGAUUGGGAAGAACACCAGUGGCGAAGGCGGCUAUCUGGACGGUUUCUGACACUAAGACUCGAAAGCGUGGGGAGCAAACAGG
rnacentral:rRNA from 1 species